rnacentral:lncRNA from 1 species
AAACAGAGUAGGUUCAAUUAUUUAGGCCAUGUCUGCAUCUGAGUUAUUUUAAUGUGAAUUGAAUUACUGCAUUGACUGGUUAUCUCUGGAGUGAAAGAGCAGGAGGGCAAAGGAAGAACAGCAGCUGGACCCGGCGGGUGCGUGCCGGUAGCUGUCAAUGGGGACAUCCUUGGCUUCGUUAGGACAUUCAUUCAGACUCUCACGCUGGUUUGCAUAAUUAAAUGGGCCUGUCUUGGAGACAGAAACAUUGAUCUGCUAUCCAGCGUUCAGUGGGAGCCAGAUGAAGGUGAAAUGCUGCUUCAUCCAAGUCUUGCAGAUAAACCUCAAGAAGUUAGGUGUGCUCAGAUACACAGUUAAACAUGAUGGAGGCUGAUAGUGCCCUGAGAAGUGGGUAAUACUGGUCUCUUACCUCAGCUCAAACUAAGAGAACUGAACCCGCAGUCUAACAUAUGGGUCCUCACUACAAGACUUGGUAGUAGUUUAAGACCACGCUCUGUUGAUUGCAGCUGAUUCUUCUGUGCUCCAAGAAAGGGAGAGUCAUGGU